GAUCCUGGCUCAGGAUGAACGCUGGCGGCGUGCCUAAUACAUGCAAGUCGAACGCUUCUUUCCUCCCGAGUGCUUGCUCUCAAUUGGAAAGAGGAGUGGCGGACGGGUGAGUAACACGUGGGUAACCUACCCAUCAGAGGGGGAUAACACUUGGAAACAGGUGCUAAUACCGCAUAACAGUUUAUGCCGCAUGGCAUAAGAGUGAAAGGCGCUUUCAGGUGUCAUUGAUGGAUGGACCCGCGGUGCAUUAGCUUCUUGGUGAGGUAACUGCUCACCUGGGCCACGAUGCUUACCCGACCUGAUAGGGUGAUCGGCCACACUGGAACUGAAACGCAGGCCACACUCCUACGGGAUGCACCAUUAGGGAAUCUUCGGUAAUGGACUAAAGUCUGACCGAGCAACGCCGCGUGAGUGAAGAACGUUUUCGGAUCGGAAAACUCUGUUGAUAUAGAAGAACAAGGACGUUAGUAUCUGAACGUCACCUGACGGUAUCUAACCACAAAGCCACGGCUAACUACGUGCCAACGGCCGCGGUAAUACUUAGGUGUAAAGCGUUGUCCGGAUUUAUUGGGCGUAUAGUCGAGCGCAAGCUGAUUCUUACGUCUGAUGUGAGAGCCCCCGCGCUCAACCGGGGAGGGUCAUUGUAACCUGGAAGACGUGAGUGCACAAGAUGAAACUGUAAUUCCCUGUGUAGACGGGGAA
rnacentral:rRNA from 1 species